rnacentral:rRNA from 1 species
UACGGAGGGUGCAAGCGUUAUCCGGAUUCACUGGGUUUAAAGGGCGCGUAGGCGGCUUGGCAAGUGGAUGGUGAAAUCCCUCGGCUUAACCGAGGAACUGCCGUCCAAACUGCUUCGCUUGAGACCGGGAGAGGUGAGUGGAAUUCCCAGUGUAGCGGUGAAAUGCGUAGAUAUUGGGAGGAACACCAGUGGCGAAGGCGGCUCACUGGACCGGUACUGACGCUGAGGAGCGAAAGCGUGGGUAGCAAACAGG